UGGGGAAUAUUGGACAAUGGGCGAAAGCCUGAUCCAGCCAUGCCGCGUGUGUGAAGAAGGUCUUCGGAUUGUAAAGCACUUUAAGUUGGGAGGAAGGGCAGUAAGCGAAUACCUUGCUGUUUUGACGUUACCGACAGAAUAAGCACCGGCUAACUCUGUGCCAGCAGCCGCGGUAAUACAGAGGGUGCAAGCGUUAAUCGGAAUUACUGGGCGUAAAGCGCGCGUAGGUGGUUCGUUAAGUUGAAUGUGAAAGCCCCGGGCUCAACCUGGGAACUGCAUCCAAAACUGGCGAGCUAGAGUAGGGCAGAGGGUGGUGGAAUUUCCUGUGUAGCGGUGAAAUGCGUAGAUAUAGGAAGGAACACCAGUGGCGAAGGCGACCACCUGGGCUCAUACUGACACUGAGGUGCGAAAGCGUGGGGAGCAAACAUG
rnacentral:rRNA from 1 species